rnacentral:rRNA from 1 species
GAUGAACGCUGGCGGCGUGCCUAAUACAUGCCAGUCGAGCGAAAGGGCGAGGAGCUUGCUUCUCUGAUGUUAGCGGCGGACGGGUGAGUAACACGUGGAUAACCCACCUGUCAGACUGGGAUAACUUGGGGAAACCGGAGCUAAUACCGGAUAAUAUUUUGAACCACGGGGGGCAAAAGUGAAAGACGGUGUUGCGGGCACUUAUAGAUGGAUCCGCGCUGUUUGAGAUGGUUGGUGAGUUAAAGGCUUACGAAGGCGAGGAUGCGUGGCCGACGUGAGGGGCGGAUAGCCCACACUGGAACUGGGCCACGGACCAGAGUCCUACGAGACGGAGCAGUAGGGAACCGUACGCAGCAGGCGAGAGCAUGGCGGAGCAGCGCCGCGUGAGUGACGGAAGUCUUCGGAUCGUAAUGCUCUGUUACUGGGUAAGAACAGCUUUGGAAGGUGACGUGCAGUGCGUGACGGUACCUAGUAAGAAAGCACCGGCUAACUACGUG